rnacentral:lncRNA from 1 species
AGCUUGCAAUGACCAUCACCUCAAUUUUUUAAAUAACACCAAGAUCCACAAGCCAAAAUAAACAUUUGAUUAAAAAGUUAUGUUAUUCAAGAUAACUCAGUUGUCCUUUUUCUCUUUGAGAUUGGGAAGGGCUGGGUCUUUAAAAACCUGAAGAGGAGUUGGUAAGAGGAAAAAAAUCCUCAAUGCUUUAAAAAAACUCAACUGGUUAGAAGUCCAUACAACUACUAUGCUGGCAUGGACAGAGAUGUUUCCUGUCACAGAACUGUUCACUUUCCCAUAGAAGUACUUCCUCCAAGCCAACUAUAUAAAGAUGUAAAUCAGCUCACCCAUGAUUGAAACUGAAAUAAUCCUUCAAAAUAGAAGUAAGACACCUCACCCAAAAAGAUCUUUUAAAUCAUUGCUAGCUGAACUGCUAUUGGUCAUAGUAGUUGGUGGCUGUGCAAAGUUCUGUGGGUUAAAGAAAGGAUUACCCUGCAUACCAAAAGCAGAUUGUCCUAUCACGUUCAUCUGUGUCCCCAUUACUGAACUGCCCAUAGCUGGAGAACCUUGAGGAGGUACAAACUGAUUAAGCCACUGAUUUGGUUUCCGUUGUGAUAACUGGUUCAUGCUAACUUUGGGUUUCUGAGGGCCAAAGAGAUUAUUAAGGGCAGACAUAUCUGUGGGUCUUUGUUGGGUCUGCUUUGCACCAGCAGGAGGAACACUCAAAGCAUUGAAGUUUGGCAAAGUGGGAGGUGUUCCCAGAGUCAUCUUGGUCACUCCAACUGUGCUUGGACUACUGUAGAAGUUCUGGUUUGUAUUAACGGGCAUGUUGAAUCCUGAAGUCUGAAAGCCCAUAUUGGCAUUUAGGCCAUUUGUCAAAUUUCUCUUUGUAUUAUCAGUUGGUGUAGAAAACAUCAUACCAAUGCCCAUGGAAGGAACAGAAGUGAAAGUACUUGAAGCAGAAGAUUUAGGGGUACUAACAGAAAGGCUGGUCAAGGAUGACAUAUUAUCCAUCAAUGUGUCUGUCAAGUCCUUAGUCUGUUUAACAGUAGCAACAGGUGUGUGCACUUGGGGUUUAAGAGGCUGCUGGCUUUUCAGCUUCUGUGCCUGCUCUUGUUCUUUUGCUAAUUUUUGUUUUUCUUCAAGUGUAAGUGAUGCUCUUUUAUGUUUAUUCUGUAACCCGUCCUCUUUAUUUUCGGACUCACUGCCAGUCAGAAGGUCUGCUCCAAUGUUGUUAAAAACUUUGUCAAUUUGCUGAUUCCCAAUAUUUGUAACUUUCGUCUCCUCAGAAACAUUCAUUUGAUUUCCUAUAUCCAAAGAUUUCUGCUGUUCUUGCAUUAUAUGAAGUUGCUCCAGUUUAGUCUUAUGUUCAGACUCCAAUCUAUUAAGCAUUUCUUUUAUGACGGAAAUGAAAGAAUUGAACUGAUUAAGAUUAAGAUUAUUUUCAAUACUCAGGGGAAUAAGGUGAGGCAACACUUUUCCGGCCAGCUGCUCUUUGGUGAUUCCCAACUUCUUAUGAGUAAAAGUACAUUUGUAAAUACCUAAAAUUCCCAUGAGGACCGCAGGUUCCUUGGAUGGAAUUUGUUGUAAGAAGGGUAGGAUAUCAUCAAGUACAAACCACUUAUCCAAGUAUUCCAAAAUCUUUCCUAAGCACACUAAUGAAUUUACACGAACCGCAAGGGAAGAUGUUUGUAGACAAGCAUUUUUAAUUCUUGGUAUCAAAGCGUUUUUCAUGGAUGGGUAGUCUAUAAGAUUUGCAAAGGUUGGAAUGAUGUUUAGACAGAGCUCCUGGAUCUGAAUGGAAGGAGCUUCUAGUGCUCUGUAAACCAUGGGUAGAACACUGUUCUUUAUCUCAUCAGGAGGGGUUUUGGUUAGUAGCAAAUCCAUUUUUUGUAGGAAAAUUAACAAAAUCUGGAUUGGCUCCUGCUGCUUAAACACAGGGCCAAGUUCAGGUAGAAUUAAUUUGACAUAUUCUUCUUUGGUGCAUUCCUCAGCAAUAAGUAGAACAUUGGGCAAAACAAAAGGUACCAUGUCAGGGUUUACAAAUUCUGAAGUCAAACAAGGCAAAAUUCUCUGCACAAUGACACGCUUGGGCAGUUUUGGUAGAACCUUUGGCAGUCCUUUGAAAAACUGUGAUUUCUGAAGAUUAUCUCUUUGGAAUAAGGUAUCAAAAUAUUGCAGUGUUACUGCACCAACAUCAUCAAAGAAGGGAAUCUUUGUCAUUUGAUCUGCAUCUGGUCUUACAGUCGGAGUUACAUUUAACAGUAGCUUUACAUGUUCACGAACUUCCUCAGGUAUAUUUGUAAGUGAACUAGAUCCUAAACGACUCAACUGAUCCAACUGCCUACUGAAACUCUUGUAAAUAUCUUGCUUGUUGACUUCAAAUAUAGGUUUCCCUUUAUUAAAUACAGCAUACAUAACAGUUCCUAAAGAAUACAUAUCACUGGCUGUUUCACAGCUCACAGAAAGUAUGUAUUCAGGAGCCAAAUAUUCAGGAUUUGGAAGACACAGUGAAGGUAAAUUUGGGUCCCAUUCUUUACAAGGAAAUUUAGGCUCUUGUUCAGAAGGAUUGGUUGAUGAUACACAAAAAUCAAAACCCAUUAUUUUCCAGGCUCCACUUUUAUUCAAAAUUAUAUUUUCAGGAGUGAUAUUUCCAUGCACCAUUUUCACACUGCUAUGCAAGAAUGACAAUCCUUCAGAAACCUGAAGCAAACCAUAUUUGGUUUCUACAUCAUAAAGUUUAUAAUCCUUAAUGUCUGGAGAUAUAGGGGAAGGUAGAUUUUCCCAGUUACCAAGAACAUUGGCUAAACUGGCAAAAACUGGUUCUGUACAAAAUGCCAAGCAAUCCCUGGAUUCUUCUAAAGGAUGCUGGACAGUAAGAAGUCGAGGGUGUCGAAGCCGAGUUAACUGUUGGACUCCUCGUUUUAGAGAAUCAAUGAUUUGAUCCUUUUCAAAUUUUUGAUACUUGUCAAUCAGUUUUUUAUCAAAGACAAAAACUGCCACUUCCUGCUUUGUUGACUUUUUUGUGCCAUUAAAAAUCUUCCAAGCUAGCCCAUUGCCACCACUGGCAAUGUGUCGACCAACAUCAAAUUCUCUAGUGACAGGAUUUCCCAUUACAGCACUAGUGACAUCAGCUGUUACUUUUGUAACAGUACUCUUCAAUUUAUUAAGCAUGGACUCCAUGGCUGCAAUAUUGGGUAGUUAUAGUUACCCGCCUGGGCGGCCCUGGGAGGCCUACCCCGGGCGCGAGUCCUCCAUUCCCUCCUCGCCGGCCCCGGGAGCCCAGGCGAGAGCGCGGCCGGUGAGGGAGGUCGGUCG